GUCCCGCCUGCCCAGUGAUAUAUUUUUAACGGCCGCGGUAUUCUAACCGUGCAAAGGUAGCGUAAUCACUUGUCUUCUAAAUAAAGACCAGUAUGAACGGCUAAAUGAGGACAAACCUGUCUCCUACAACAAAUCAGUGAAACUGAUCUCCCAGUACAAAAGCUGGGAUAAACACAUAAGACGAGAAGACCCUGUGGAGCUUAUAAAUAAAUGAUCAACAAACCACCACCAAAACAACAAUGAUCCUAUAUUUUAAGUUGGGGCGACUUCGGAAAAAAAUAAAACUUCCGAGAAAAGGGCCACCUAACCCACCAUAAGGGAUACAACCCUAAAGCA
rnacentral:rRNA from 1 species